GUUUAUAAUUUCUGCCCUCUCUUGACUUCUGCUGCUUUUUGCUUCUAUUAACAGUGUGAGACACUAUUGUUGGAGGCGGAUCAUACACGUCAGGGGCCCACUUCACAGACAGCUUCCUUGGUGAUGCACCUUGUCUCUCGCGGCUACCUUUCAUAGCAGACACAAGCUUCAAAGGAGUCUGAGAGAGAAAAGCAUGGACGGAGGUGAAAUUAGAGAAGCCAAACUAACAAACGAAGUAAACAAAUAUAACAAAUAAGCCUGAAAUCAUUUCUUUAGUAGUAUUAAACGGCUAAACAAGUCCCAAACCACUAUAGGCUCCAGCAGUGCACAUAAAAGAUGGUUUCAUCACCUGUGUUGAAUAACAACAGUCAAAAGCUAGUUCAAACUAAUUUCAAUGCUGAAAGCCAAAAAUGUAAGUAAUUGCAUGCUGAAUUACUUGCACUAAGGUGCAUGAACCAACAGAGGCAGACGCGUUAUCUGUCCUGAAAUGAGGAGGUAAUUUCAUGCUUCCACAUAGUAGCUCCAAAACACACUCUACCAAAUGAAUAUGACAACCAUUAAAGACACAUUUAAGAUAUCACCAUGAAUGAGGAAACAGGAUUAGCUCAUGGUAAUCACAAGCAAUCCAAUAAUCAUAAGGAGGCACACCAUAAAAGGUCACAACUAUGAUCCAUUUCAAAAAGCAGGGUCAAAGUAAACCACAAGACCGCAAGUAAGUAAACCACAAGACCGCAAGUAAGCAAACCACAAGCAGACCAAUGAGACACAGCUCAAGAGAAACUGAAAGACAUGUCAAACCUCUUUAAUCACCAACAGACAUAGGAGAAAUAAUCUUGACAGUCUAGUCUCUUAAUCCAGACCAGACACUUUUGGACAGAAGUAAUCUGAAUACCCCAUACAUUAAAAGAUGAAACUAAAACAGCAGCUCAACAAAAUAAACACCCACAAACCAUCAUAUAUCACAAGAUGACUCACAGGCAAAGAUAAUGAGCGAGAGCAGCGCGAGGGCACAGGGUCAUCAGAAAACAUUUGCUCUAAGGCUGUCUUAAGUUCAUCAUCUUCAUCUUGCUCAUUCACAUUAGCAGAAGGUGAUAUCUUAGCAGUGGGCGGGAAUGUAGCAUACUUGCACAAGCUCUUCUGACCAGGUCCAUCGUCCUCUAAUUUAAGGUCUUCAAAUCCUUCCUCCACAUGACUC
rnacentral:lncRNA from 1 species